rnacentral:misc_RNA from 1 species
UCCGAUUUACACCGGCGGUCUCCUAUGAGUUCCCACCUUUCGUGUUGGUAACAUAGGACGAGGGUUGCGCUCGUUGGCGGACUUAACCGUACACCUCACGGCACGAGCUGACGACAGCCAUGCAACAAGUGUCUUCAUGUCUUCCUUUUGGGAAGAGGGCCCCAUUUCUGAGGCUUACAAUCGAUGUCAAACCUGGGUAAGGUUCUUCGGUUAGUAUCGAAUUAAUCCACAUGCUCCACCGCUUGUGCGGGUCCCCGUCAAUUCAUUUGAGUUUCAACCUUGCGGCCGUACUCCCCAGGCGGGAUACUUAGUGCGUUAGCUGCGGCACAAGAGGGGUCGAUACCUCUUACGCCUAGUAUCCAUCGUUUAGGGCGUGGACUAC